ensembl:ncRNA F32B4.11 ncRNA
UGAAAAAUAUCAAUUUUGAGCCAAGUUAUGAGCAUUAGAAGUUGGUGGCCUAGAAACCCAAAUUUUUGGAUUUGUAGGCCAUCAA